UUGUUGGGGACGAAGGGCGAAGGGUUAAUAGCCCCUAGCCUGACGGUACCCUUCGAGGAAGCCCCGGCUAACUACGUGCCAGCAGCCGCGGUAAUACGUAGGGGGCGAGCGUUGUCCGGAAUUAUUGGGCGUAAAGAGCGUGUAGGCGGUUCGGUAAGUCUGCCGUGAAAACCUGGGGCUCAACCCCGGGCGUGCGGUGGAUACUGCCGGGCUAGAGGAUGGUAGAGGCGAGUGGAAUUCCCGGUGUAGCGGUGAAAUGCGCAGAUAUCGGGAGGAACACCAGUAGCGAAGGCGGCUCGCUGGGCCAUUCCUGACGCUGAGACGCGAAAGCUAGGGGAGCGAACAGGAUUAGAUACCCUGGUAGUCCUAGCCGUAAACGAUGAACACUAGGUGUGGGGGGAGUCGAAUCCCCCUGUGCCGCAGCCAACGCGUUAAGUGUUCCGCCUGGGGAGUACGGCCGCAAGGCUAAAACUCAAAAGAAUUGACGGGGGCCCGCACAAGCAGCGGAGCAUGUUCUUUAAUUCGAUGCAACGCGAAGAACCUUACCUGGGCUUGACAUGGCGCUGCAAGCGCACGGAAACGUGUGACCUUCGAGGGUGCGCCACAGGUGCUGCAUGGCU
rnacentral:rRNA from 1 species